rnacentral:rRNA from 1 species
AUUGAACGCUGGCGGCAGGCCUAACACAUGCAAGUCGAGCGGAUGAAGGGAGCUUGCUCCUGGAUUCAGCGGCGGACGGGUGAGUAAUGCCUAGGAAUCUGCCUGGUAGUGGGGGAUAACGUCCGGAAACGGGCGCUAAUACCGCAUACGUCCUGAGGGAGAAAGUGGGGGAUCUUCGGACCUCACGCUAUCAGAUGAGCCUAGGUCGGAUUAGCUAGUUGGUGGGGUAAAGGCUUACCAAGGCGACGAUCCGUAACUGGUCUGAGAGGAUGAUCAGUCACUCUGGACCUGAGCCACGGUCCAGACUCCUACGGGAGGCAGCAGUGGGGAAUAUUGGACAAUGGGCGAAAGCCUGAUCCAGCCAUGCCGCGUGUGUGAAGAAGGUCUUCGGAUUGUAAAGCACUUUAAGUUUGGAGGAAGGGCAGUAAGUUAAUACCUGCUGUUUUGACGUUACCAACAGAAUAAGCACCGGCUAACUUCGUG